AGGGCUGUAGCUGAGUGGUAGAGUGUUUGCCUCGCAUGCAAAAGGUUUCAGGUUCAAUCCCUGGCAUCUCCA